rnacentral:lncRNA from 1 species
GAUAUUUUCCUACUUUGAAACCCAGGUGAGAGCCUCAGAGCAACUCAGGAACCUCUUGUGUACAAAUCCUGGAAAAGGUAAUGCAUAAAGACCUCCUGGGCCACUGAGCACCUGAGGCUGAUGUUGAGGAAAGGUGAGGGUUGUGUUUUAAUUGAGCUAAUCUCCCCUUCAGAUGCGAGAAGAGGCGUCUGGGAGGCCCAAUUGUAUCAGAGAAGAGGCUGGCACUGCAGUCGUGCUCCUGCAAGGAGGGUUUGGCUUUUAACAAGUUGGCUCUGAGAACCAAGGAAGAGAGGAUGGAAAGAGCUUUACUGAGCAUCUCCAGCAUGAUCCAAGGUGAGGGUUGUGUUUUAAUUGAGCUAAUCUCCCCUUCAGAUGCGAGAAGAGGCGUCUGGGAGGCCCAAUUGUAUCAGAGAAGAGGCUGGCACUGCAGUCGUGCUCCUGCAAGGAGGGUUUGGCUUUUAACAAGUUGGCUCUGAGAACCAAGGAAGAGAGGAUGGAAAGAGCUUUACUGAGCAUCUCCAGCAUGAUCCAGUAGUAUCUGCUGAUGCUGAUGCUGCCACCCGGUGCUUUUCAUUUGGGGAUCAAGCGGCAAUGCCCCUGGAAGAAGAUCAAAGAUCGAAGUGCUUUCUUUAAUUAUUACAGGCCAGGAGAUUACCAGAUUACUGGGAUCAUAACGACUGCAAAUUCUAUAUUUCGGCCAUAUGAUUUCUACAGUUCUCCCUCCAGCAAUAUUCUCGUUCUAGAAGGCACGACAUUCUGGAACAUCCUGCCCUUCUUGUUUGCUGUUCGUGAGAUCAACGAGAAGCCAACCCUUUUAGCCAAUGUCACUCUGGGCUACAACAUCUACGAGAAUCAUUUCAAUGCAAGGAUAACUUCUGAGGCUUUGGUGGACCUGCUGUCUGUGGGGCAGCAGCAUGUUCCAAACUACCUCUGUGGGAAGCAGAAUGGCUUGUCAGUGGUUCUGGAAGGGGCCGACUCAGAAAUCUCCAACCAGAUUUCAACAAUAUUGGACAUCUACAAGAUCCCACAGGUAUGAAAGGAGUGGAGGGUGAGUCUCCUUCUAGUUUUUAAAAUCUCUAUACAGUGGUGCCUCGCAGAACGGGCGCCUCGUAGAGCAAUGAGUUCGCUCUACGAGGCCGUUUCU